rnacentral:rRNA from 1 species
CUAGCGACAGGCUUAGCACAUGCAAGUCGAGGGCAGCAUAAAAGUAGCAAUACUUGGUGGCGACCGGCGCACGGUGAGUAACGCGUAUGCAACCUACCUAUCAGAGGGGAAUAACCCGGCGAAAGUCGGACUAAUACCGCAUAAAACAGGGGCACCGCAUGGUGAUAUUUGUUAAAGAGAUUCGCUGAUAGAUGGGCAUGCGUUCCAUUAGGUAGUUGGUGAGGUAACGGCUCACCAAGCCGACGAUGGAUAGGGAACUGAGAGGUUGGUCCCCCACACUGGUACUGAGACACGGACCAGACUCCUACGGGAGGCAGCAGUGAGGAAUAUUGGUCAAUGGGCGGGAGCCUGAACCAGCCAAGUCGCCGUGAAGGAAGAAGGAUCUAUGGUUCGUAAACUUCUUUUGCAGGGGAAUAAAGUGCAGGACGUGUCCUGUUUUGUAUGUACCCUGAGAAUAAGGAUCGGCUAACUCCGUGCCAGCCGCAGC